rnacentral:rRNA from 1 species
AUGGAAAAUGUGCUGGCCUUCUCGAUCCUGAGCGCGUCGCCGGCGGACAUCGCCCCCGGUGGGAGCUGGGCUUGGCUCUCCUGGCAAGGGAGGAAGCUGCAGGAGGACGACCAGGAUGGAGCAGGGCAGCAAGGGAAGCAGGGCCAUGUGCCGGCGGAGGCAGAGCUGUGGCCGGACAAGGGGAAAUCACAGUCGCCAUCGCUGCUGCAGCCACGGUUCGCGCCGGAGUUUGAUGGGAUCGACUGCUUUGAGACCCUCGUGUGCCAUUAUUCAGUUAAUCUCAAGCCGUGGUUGUGA